rnacentral:rRNA from 1 species
AGUUUUCGGACAAUGGAUGUAGAGGAAAGUGGCGGACGGGUGAGUAACGCGUGAGGAACCUGCCUUAUACAGGGGGAUAACAGUUGGAAACGACUGCUAAUACCGCAUAAGCGCACAGUACCGCAUGGUACAGUGUGAAAAACUCCGGUGGUGUGAGAUGGACCCGCGUCUGAUUAGCUAGUUGGCAGGGCAACGGCCUACCAAGGCGACGAUCAGUAGCCGGACUGAGAGGUUGAACGGCCACAUUGGGACUGAGAUACGGCCCAGACUCC